UUGCGGAGUAUCCAUAAAAUUAAGAGCAGUAGUUUCUCUGUUUUGAUUACGAUAUGGUUGGUAGCGUUCCGAUUUCUGACGAUUUAGACGAAAACAAUAGUUGAUUGUAUGACCUCUACGUUUACAAAAGCUGCAUACAGACACUGGCUUAUUGCUUCUCUGCGAUCUGUCCCAGCUUCUACUGCGAUCCCUGAACCGAACGUUCUUCCCCCACGGGAAAAACGUGCGAGUGAAACAUCGAAAGGCACAGGUAAGCAACAGACCAGAAUCUGCGAUCCGAAUCUGCUACAACCGGCACAAUUUUAAAUUGCAGAAGCGCACGCCUAGGCCAGAAGGAAUUGUCGGUCGAUUAAGGGCGGAAGACGUCGCAAAAGGCAAAGGUAAGCAACAAUUUUGAAGCCGAGAAAUUAGUACUGAAGCACAUUUAUUCCAGUUCGCUUGUACACACCUUUCGACCACGGCCAAAAGCGAAUCUCACAGAGAGAAAAUCUGCGCAAGGCGCUAACAAAAAGGGAAAGAUUUCGUUGGUCGUGCGUGGCCACAGUUGGCAUAUCAGCAUCCAAAAUGGGUCGGAAGACCCUUUUUUUGCCAUACUCGUUUUUCUUUUUUGGCCACAUCUUUUUGCUACACCUUUACUGCCAUACCGCUUUGCCACUUCUGUUUGCCACAUCUUUCCUCACCCGUGGUGAUAUUCGGCUCACCGGAUUCGGCGCUUGGUACUCGCUUCUCCUCGCCAGCAGUGGGAGCGGUUAUUGCCAGGAAGCCACUUUGCCGGAAAACUUCAGCCAGUUCUUGCUGCCUAUUGUAGUUCCACUCGCGGUUCCCAUUGGACACAAGACGCCGAGGAGCGCCAAAGGUUCCCCAAGGGAAAAGGCGCCAGAGGGCGAGUGGCAUCGAGGGAUCGGCGAAAUUAGGAAAACCACGUGCGGGAAGCGGAAGGCGUUCCCGGUUGCAACCGGGGAAAACACCCAUUGGUCAUCGGAUGACAUCACAGCAGGAGCAUUGUCGCCGGAAUAACCGGAUUGUCGUCCAGCAGGAGGAUCUGCGCGUUCAGCGGCCCAAGCCGGAACGUGCAGGGUUGCGAGUUAGCAACCAACGAGUUGUGUAGCAUGUGUGUGCAGCGACAUCGGCGAAGAGUGCACCAAGGUUUCGUUCGUCGACAAGAUUCAGCAGGCCAUAAGGACAUCAUCAUCAACAUGGUUUCGGACAGCCUCCAGAUGGCAAGGCACUCGGAGAGGAGCUCCGAUGAAAAGUACCCGGAAGUCGGGUCAGCAGCACGCAGCAAAGCCGAAAUCAUAUGAAAGAGUUUUAACAUCCCUUCCCGGAAAAAGCGAUUUAAUUCGCGAAUAGACCUCAGCUCCGCACACAGCUAAAAACGACGUUUUAUAUUUAGCUUCUGGGUAAUUAUUAUGCGUAAAAAUCCAUUCUUAUUGCUCAACAUACUGGCUAAACGGAAUUGAGCACGGGAUAAACUGUUCAGCAGUGGUAGCGAGAGUCAUAAUGAAUGAUGAUGUUAAAAAAAAAUUAUAAAU